UCAGAUGAUUUAGAAAAUUCUGCUCUCAUUUGUAAAGUAUGUUUAGAUAAACAGGUUUCUAUCCUCCUGCUCCCAUGCAGGCAUCUGGUCAGCUGUGGAGAGUGUACAGUUUCCCUCCAGAACUGCCCAGUGUGCAGAGGAAGAAUUCAGCAUACUGUCAAAGCCUUCUUGAUCUAGCUGACAAUGGACAAGGGUCAAUUUAAAUGCGAACUGGACCGACCCCUUGUACUGGUCAUAAUGACGCGCCGAAAUGACUGUCUGAGUAACUUAAAAAACGUACUUCAAUAAAAGACUAAAAAAACCUC